rnacentral:rRNA from 1 species
UACGUAGGGUGCGAGCGUUGUCCGGAAUUAUUGGGCGUAAAGAGCUCGUAGGCGGUGUGUCACGUCGGCCGUGAAAACCUGCAGCUUAACUGUGGGCGUGCGGUCGAUACGGGCAUCACUGGAGUUCGGCAGGGGAGACUGGAAUUCCUGGUGUAGCGGUGAAAUGCGCAGAUAUCAGGAGGAACACCGGUGGCGAAGGCGGCUCUCUGGGACGGUACUGACGCUGAGACGCGAAAGCGUGGGGAGCAAACAGG